UUUAUUCAAACAAAGUAACAUACCAAGUUAAAUAUGUUCCUUAUAUUGUUCUGCAAAAUUGACAGUAAACUUAACUUUAACGUCUAACACGAUCCCCUAAUUAUUAGCUCAUAAUGUUUUAGACACAUAAUGGCGCAAAUAUUAUUGAAGCAAUGCGCAAAAAACAAACUAAUGUAAACCAGCUGCUAAUUUGUACAUAAAAAGUUGAGGCUGAUUUCAAAAGUUCUGUAACUCAGUCCUCAUCAACCGAAAAAUCUGGUUCUGCUGGCUUCUGAAGAGAGCUCACAACAACACUUUCAUCCGAGCCAGAAUGAUUAAUGAUGCCCCUUCUAGUGCUUGUUGCACGCCUCGCAGCAUACAUAGUUAAGCCUGAGCCUGCUGAAGUAGGUUCAGGUUCAGCUGCUGUGGGGUUUUCUCUAGCUCUGAGUUCAGCUGCUUCCUUUUGUUUCUUAUACCGAUGCCAUGCCGCUUGUAUGAAACAUGCAGCCCAUGUUCUCCAUUGAUGUGAGUAGAACCUGAACUUGUGUCUUAGUUGCUUGCUGUGUAGUCUUCUAAACUGUGAGGCUACAAACUUUAAGUCUUCUGCUCUCAGUGCAAAUGCCUCAACUUCUGAAAUGGCCUUGGCCGUGCGAGUAGAUGAUGGGAGGAUGAUACUUUUUCUUGGAUCUAAUGCCCAUGUCAGCAAUUCCUCGCCACAAAAAUCACCAGGACCAAUACGGCAAGAAUUGAAAAAUCCAGUACGACCACCAUUGGUGGUGUAAGAAUCAAGAUGGCCACGAAUUAUGAAAAGCAUCUCAUUGACAAGAUCACCUUCAUGGACAAGAAAUGUUCCUUCAGUAGACAAUGCAGGUUUCAGCCUCUCACAUAUUGCGUCUAGCAUCCUUUCAUCCAUUUGAUCAAAUAAUGGAACUCGUCGAACUAAAUCAAGGCAAAGAUGGCGUUUGAUAUCUCUUCGGAGAUCCAUAGGAAGACCUUUGAGAAGAGCCUCUUCAUCAACUCCUCUUGUAGCCACCCACUUGUACAGAUCAUAUUUCCGUACAGACUGUUUUAGCUCUGGUGGCAGCUGCCUGUGAUGCAUCCAUUGUUCUGUAUCCGUCCUCCUUAUUCUCCACUCUUCUAAAUGAACUGUUGUUGAUUGUAAGUAUCUUUGCAUGUUCCCAAUGAGCAACGCGAAUAGAACCAGACCAAGUGUUGCGACAAUGACGGCAAACGUUAUUUCACCUACAUAAGUAGUUGUUGAGAGAUUUUGCCCUAGUGAACUGCAAGAAUGGAUAAAGAGAGCAUUAAACUUGAAUAAUAUGUGCAAUGAAUCACCAAAUGAAUACAGUUCAUCUGAUAAAGGACACAAGAGACGGUUUUAGUUUAACAAUUUCGUCUGUUCAAUAAAAUCUUGACUAGAAACAAAAUAUUCCCUUUUGCUUGCCAAAGAAGAUUAAAUAAAUAACUAAUUUAAGUUAUGAACUAACUGGAGGUUAAAAUGACAAUUGUAAGACUAUGAAUUUCAGAUACUUCUUCCAGCAACUAGACAGAGCUUGCCUCUCUGCCAAAAAAGGUAAGCCCUUCAGAAAAGAGCUUAUUGAACAGACUGUUCAUCUGAAAAAAGAAUUUGGAACAAAAUUUGAUUAACAUUUAAAUGGUAUCUUCAAAUUCUUAAGGUAACAUUUAAAUGGUAUCUACGUGUGUCUACCAGUGAAUUUCCUCUACGUCCUAUAUGGAGCAAAAGAUAACAACUUUUAUAUUCAAAGAAUAUACGAGCAUCCAAAGUAGAAUCAGAGAUUUCAGGUUCAGAAUGCACGUUACCUCAGGUUCUUUAAGCCCCACCAAAGACAGUAAAAGUAUUUAUUGAAGAAUGUUGAAGUUGUAACGCCAAAUGUCAAAGCAUCGCCAAAUAUACCAAGCUGAUAGUAAUCAGUAUCAGGAUUACAAAGCUUUGUGACAUUGCUUGAUUUGAACCAGGAUUCCCUAAGGGGGUCAUGCAUCUUGUGGCAAUCAAAAUAUUCAUAUCGACAAGAAGGAUUCUCUAGAUUACAAACACUUCUCCAGCAUGCUUCUUGCCGCUCAAUUGAUAGAAGAUACCAGCAAGCUCCUAAAACAUGGCUUGCCAGCAUGUAUAGCAUUAGAUUAUAAGCAGCUCCUGCCCAUGCAGUUUCAGUCACAACACCAUUGGCAUUAAUAAUUCUUGAUGAAAGUGGAAGGAUAAGAAAAAGUCGUGGGAGGUACUGAAAAAUGAUGAUGAACCGAAGGACAUUUUUAGUAUUUGCCAUUGUUGAACCACCAAUAUUGGGGAUAACAAACCAAAUCAACAACUGGGGAAGAGGCAGGGCAGCAAUGAGAUCAAUCCAGAAGUGCUGUUUAAGGUACCUUACUGCAAUUUUUUUUGAAUCUAUGACAAGCUCUCCUCUUCCGAAAACACGGGAAGAAGGCGCGACAUAAGCAGUUUGAAAAUGAAUGAAAAUCUGAAUCAUGUAAAAAAUAUCAGCUAUUGUUCUAAUAAUUGUAAGGGUAAUUUCAAGGGGUAUUCCAAUAACUAUGCAAGCUUCAUUUGAGACUACUGGCAAGUAAAAGAAUAGAGGGUCUACAAACAAAGAAACCAGGCAAGCUACUAAAACAAUCUUGGUCCAUCUGCGAACUGUUGGUCCUCGAGGAUCAAAUAUCUUCUUCUUCACUCCCUCAUAGUCCUCAGAGAAAACUCUGGACAAUACUUUAGCUUUCAAGGAACCUCCAGCCUUCCAAGGCAUCUCCUUCUCAGAUUUCUUGCAACUAGACUCUGAUAUUUGUGUUCUAUCAAUGUUGUGUGUGAGCUUAAUUACACCAUCCUCAUUGGCUGUUGGGAGCUUGGCUAAUUCAAGAUCAUCUUUAAACCUAACAGAUCUUGAAUUGCCAUACCCCAUUGUGUUCUUGUGAAAGUAUGGCUACGGUUUCAAUCACUGGAUUUUAUCUGCGACACAAGAAGGUCAGAGAUGU
rnacentral:misc_RNA from 1 species